UAGGGAAUCUUCCGCAAUGGACGCAAGUCUGACGGAGCAACGCCGCGUGAGUGAAGAAGGAUUUCGGUUCGUAAAACUCUGUUGUUAGAGAAGAACAGCGCAUAGAGUAACUGUUAUGCGUGUGACGGUAUCUAACCAGAAAGCCACGGCUAACUACGUGCCAGCAGCCGCGGUAAUACGUAGGUGGCAAGCGUUGUCCGGAUUUAUUGGGCGUAAAGCGAGCGCAGGCGGUCAAUUAAGUCUGAUGUGAAAGCCCCCGGCUCAACCGGGGAGGGUCAUUGGAAACUGGUUGAAUUGAGAGCAGAAGAGGAGAGUGGAAUUCCAUGUGUAGCGGUGAAAUGCGUAGAUAUAUGGAGGGACACCAGUGGCGAAGGCGACUCUCUGGUCUGUAACUAACGCUGAGGCUCGAAAGCGUGGGUAGCAAACAGG
rnacentral:rRNA from 1 species